UGAAAUAGCUCAGUCGGUAGAGCACUUCACUCGUAAUGAAGGGGUCGUGGGUUCAAGUCCCAUUUUCA
rnacentral:tRNA from 2 species